rnacentral:rRNA from 1 species
GAUGAACGCUGGCGGCGUGCCUAAUACAUGCAAGUCGAGCGGACCAAAGAGAGCUUGCUCUCUGAGGUUAGCGGCGGACGGGUGAGUAACACGUGGGUAACCUGCCUGUAAGACGGGGAUAACUUCGGGAAACCGAAGCUAAUACCGGAUGAUAAAGAGAAACGCCUGUUUCUUUUUUGAAAGUCGGCCUUGUGCUGACGCUUACAGAUGGGCCCGCGGCGCAUUAGCUAGUUGGUGAGGUAACGGCUCACCAAGGCGACGAUGCGUAGCCGGCCUGAGAGGGUGAUCGGCCACACUGGGACUGAGACACGGCCCAGACUCCUACGGGAGGCAGCAGUAGGGAAUCUUCGGCAAUGGACGAAAGUCUGACCGGGCAACGCCGCGUGAGCGAUGAAGGCCUUCGGGUCGUAAAGCUCUGUUGUCAGAGAAGAACAAGUACCGGAGUAACUGCCGGUACCUUGACGGUACCUGACCAGAAAGCCACGGCUAACUACGUGCCAGCCGCCGCAGUAAUAC